UCAGCCUUUAACAUUGCUGUUGACUUGUCACUCUUGAGGUUUGAUCUUAUUGACUUAAAUCAGACACUGGACUGGAAUGACCACAAUAGAUCUAGAAAUGGUGAUUGAAUGAAAAUUUGGAACGGUCUCUUAAUUUUGUCCACGGCUGUAUUCAAUGUAUAUAUAUAACACACGCUAAAACAGUUUUGUGUAGAAAAAUGUAUAUUUUUCUUUCAGGUAAACCUGAAGUAUGGAAUGGACUAACGCAUUUUUUUCAUCAAACGUGCUGGAACGUGUACUGCUCCAGUUUUACGUCGGGUGAUGUUUUUACAACAUUCAUUUUCGUGUGCCACAAGAUCGGAUGUGAGGCAAGAUGUGGGGAUCGGACUGCUCAUUAUUCUCAGGACUCAAAGUUUUUGGCCCAUAAGACCCGAAGCUGAAACUCGCUCAUCUGGCAGAGCCAAGCAAGAUAUUCCAACAGAGCCCAAGCUGUACGUCCUGUAUAGAUCCAAGCGAGUGGGAGUAGAAAUCCCUGCUGAUGGAUGGCUGGUAUGGGGCCAGCGUUCCGGAUGGGAAUGGCUGCCCAGCGCUGGGAUGCUCUCCCAAAUCCCCCCUGUGAAACGGUCGCAGCUGCCACGUCAGUCACCUGAACAUUCCCGCUUUUUCAUCGAACAAACAGCAAUCAGGCCUUCAGCGUCUGACCUGACAAAUUGAUUUGGAAUCCCUUCUGACGAUCCGUCCCUGCCUCGCAUUCCCUCUGUGGUCAGCGCUGAGCCGAGCGGGAGGAGAUGAAAAAACGGCCUAUGGAAUCACUGCUGCUCGACGGGUGGAAUGAUCAAAGGAGGACGUGGAAAAUGAAUGGGUACGACUAAAGGAAGGACCAAAAAUAUUCCUGCUGUCUGUUUCCAUCUCGAGUGUGAUAAACCUGAGCCGGGCCGUGGGUGGAGGUCACUGCAGAUGGACACGGCCAGCUCCAGCUAAACGUCCACAGAUCAUGUGAACACUAAAGUUUACGAGAUACCUGAAUCAUAACACAUCUGGCUAUUUGGAGGAAGACAUUAUAACCGAUAUGUAAUCACGGUCCACCACAGUCACACGGGAACACACUGGGGGAAUUUGAGAGUGUGUGGAGGCCCAGGGGCGAAGGCUGUCUCUGCACAUGAUCGGCCGCAACUAAUACAUCCCACAACUGCACACGAGUGUGAUGAAGGCCCUGCCCAUAUCACUGUGGAAACAGGUG